UCAGCGUGGCUCUCGAGGCCUGCCUUGGGCUUUUGUUGCAAGGUUUCAGAGUUUCCUGCGGAAGGCUGAACCACAAAGAAUAAGUGAGAAAAUAAAAUGUAAAACAUUUAUCACAAAGCCUGGCACACAGUCGGCACUUAAUACACGGCACCUUUGUCAAUAUUAUUACUUAUUUUAAAAGAAAAGAGAAGAAGAUUCAAGUACAUUUAAGAGGAAGACACCUGUUGUCUUAAUUCCUCAGGUCUCAAAUAGUUGCGUGAUGUGGAAAGAGGGAUUUGAACAAUCCUGGGGAGAAAAGGCCUCUGAGUGUCUGACAAACCAAGGAUGCAAAGAAAAAGGAAUCAGCAGGACAGCUGCCCAGGGCUGGGGUUGGUUCCUCAGUGUCCUCAGCAGCAUCCUGGUGGUGCAGGGUGAAUGCCGUCAGCUCUGCUCUUCUGUAUCUCUCCAAUUAAGUCCUGUGAAGGGGACACAGGCUCAGCCCAUCUCCUCACCAGCCAGUGUGGACACUGUCCACACCAGGGUCCAGUGCUCAGCAGUCCUCUGCAGUUUGGGGCCACCUCUCAGCACAGGCAGCGUCCUCUCAUGUGGAUGGCCCCCAACAACACCCUUCUUCAAGCUGCAGUGGAAAGGUUACCUACCAGACAGAAAGCCACUGGGACAAAACCAUUUGUAAGGUUAAGCAGCAAAAUAAAUGUGAGAUGCCUGAACAGAUUUUUUUUCUGAGACAAAGACCCAUUACCAGCUCAUUUUAAGAAAAUACUGUGUUUGGAACACAUGUGGGAGUUGACUAUAUGUUCGAAUGAUGACUCUUUGUACUCAUUUGUAUAUUCAUCACAAUUUUUCCAAUUUUUUAUUUUGAAAACUUUUAAGCCCAUAAAAAAGUUGAAUGCCAGGUGCCCUUCAUCUAGAAUCACCAUUAACUCUUCACCACAUUUGCUUCCUUUUUCUCUCUCCAUACACACACACACACACACACACACACACACACAGAAACAUCUUAACAUCCCUGACAUUUAGAUGUGUCAAUAAUUGAUAAUGUCGUACAGCUCAAGUGACCACAUUUCUUUCUGUUUUUCCCCAGUGGAAAAAUACUAAUACUAAUGGUUCAUCUUACUGUUGAUGGCAUCUUAGAUUCAGCAGACAACCGACUCGGUAACGUGCUGAGCAGUGUCCGGCUCACUGUCCGUGCUACAGAACUCUUAGCUGCUAUUACUCUAUUACCAUGACGUACAGAGUUUCACAACCUCUACACUAUUGACGUUUUGGCCCAGAUGAUCUUGGCUGUGUGGGGGCUGUCCUGUGCAUUGUGAGAUGCUGUGCAGCAUCAUUUCUUCCACUCACUGGACGCCGGUAACACUCCUCCAGUUGGGACAACUGAAAAUGUUUCCAGACAGUAUCCAAAUGCCCCCUAAGGGACAAAAUUCCCCCCAUCUCCCAUUGAGAACCACUUCUCUAGUAAUGAGGUUAUUCUAAAAAUUUUAACCAACUUAUCCAUAUCUCAAAUUAAUCAGUGUCUUUAUUCUUCUCUGAAACACAACAGGAACUUUGAAAUACUUUAUCUUCAAUUUUUCCCCUUUCUAUGUUUUAGUUGUUUUUUAAACCCAGCAUAUAUUAUUAUUGUUUUAUGCCAUCAGUAUUUGUUUAGAUUUACUCCUACGUUUACCAGUUUCUUUCCUAUGUUUCUUCUUUCAUGUCAUAACUCCCAUCUGGGAAUGGUUUCCUUCUGCCUGAAAUAUAUUCUUUAGAUCUUUAUCUCAUAAAGGUCUUUUGAUGUUAAAUGCUUUCAACUUUUGUUUGUCUGAGUCUUUAUUUUACCCCUUUUCCUGAAAAAUAUUUUUUGCAGGAUAUACAAUUCUACUUUGACAAAGAUUUUUGAUGCACUUGAAAGUAGUCUAUCAUUUUUUGGCUUCUACUACUGCUGAGAAAUCAUCCAUAAAUGUCAUUGUUCUUCCUUUGAGGGAAUCUGCCUUCUCUGAUUUUGAUGUCCUUCCAUUUCAUCCUGAUGUGAUUUUUUCUUAUUUGUCCAGCUUGGGAUUUAUUUGGAUUCCUGAAUUUGUAGACAGAUGUCUUUUAUCAACCAUUGUUUUGUCAUAUAUUCAAAUAUUGCUUUUGCCUCAUCCUUUCUCAUCUCUCCUUCUGAGACUGUGAUUAGACAUGGAAUAGAUCAUCUCAGUCUAUCCUUCGUAUAUCUUAUAUAUUAACCUCUCAUAUUUUACAUCCUUAUGUUUCUCUGUACUGUGCCCUUGAUAAUCACUUCAGAUCUACUCUCCCAGUGAUGGUUAAUUUUAUGUGUCAACUUGCCUAAGCCAAAGAACCCAGAUAUUGAUCAAACACCAGUCUGAAUGUUGCUGUGAAGAUAUUUUUUAGAUGACAUUAACAUUUCAAUCAGUAGACUUUGAGUAAAGCAGAUUACCCUCCCUAAUAUGGGUGGAUGUCAUCUUAUCACUUGAAGGCCUUAAGAGAAGAAAGACUGAGGUCCCCAGUGAAUGAGCUCAUUCUGCCUUGAGACAGCCUUUGAACUUAACUGAAACAUCAACUCUUCCCUGGGUCUCCAGCCUAUCAGUCUGCCCUACAUAUUUCGGACUUGCCAGCCUCCAUAACUGUGUGCACCAAUUCCUUAAGAUAAAUUUCUCUCCUAUAUAUAUAUGUACACAUAUCCUAUUGGUUCUGUUUCUCUGAACCCUGACUAAUACACUCCCCCUUCUGCCCACUUUACUUAUUCUCUCUUCAGCUGCGUCUAAUUGGCUGUUAAGCUCAUCCUCUGACUUUUAGAGGACUAUUUGCCAUCUCUCCCCAAAUCUGUUUGGUUAUUUCUUAGUCUGUAAUAGAUUGUAAUUACUGUUUCCAAUCGUUUUCUCCUUGCUUGUAAGAGAAUUACACAUUCCCACCUGUUGCCACGUGACUUGAAGCUUUUCCCUGGGGAGCAGUACACUUCUCCACUCUGUUGAUAUUGGACUUGGCCAUGUCUUUGGCCAAAGCAAUGUGGACGGAAGUGACAUGCCUCAUGUCCAAGCAGAAGCUCUAAGAACUACAGUGGGGAGCCAGACGCAUCCGCGGGGUGCAGAACUUGACAGGCCUCCUGUCCCUCCACAUUCCGGGAGGAAGAGCUCAACUGGGGAAGAGAAUCAAUCUCUCCUUUGUCCUAAGACUAGCCCCAGACCAGAGUAAGAUCUCUGGGGGCAUUGAGAACUGAAAACGUGCUGAGUGCUCCCUUACAACGUUAUUAAAAAGAAUUUAAAAAUGCUGAACUGGAAGAUGAAUACAAGAAAGAUCAAUAAACUCUUGACUUUUCCUCCAUGAUGCUUCAUUUUUGAAAUGUCAAAUUAUCUCAAAAAGUGUUUUUUCUAUUUUUGGGACCUUUGAUGAAUCUGCUUUAUUGGGCAAUCUGGCACAGAGGAAGGGACAUUUCUUGCUGACCUAAGUCUGUGGAGCUAAAGUCACACCCAUGAGAUUAUGUUGCUGGUAAGAACAGCUGCCAUUUAUGUGGUGCCCACUCUGUGCUGGCCCCGGGGUAGGCAUUUUUCACGGGAUAUCGCUAAUCCUUGUCCAGGUGAGGAAACUGAGAGGUCAUAGACCAGUACGUGUCUGAGGUGGAAUUCAGAGCCCAGAGCCCUACUAUUCUUUGAAGCUUCCUACACAC